AUCCCGUGAUGAGGGCAUCUAUGUAGUAACUCCUUGAAUCUUUCCUACGCCUCGUAUAAGGACUCGUCAUCUAGUUAUUGAAAAGUGGUGAUCUCACUUUGCAACU
rnacentral:snoRNA from 1 species